UUUUGAAUAAUAAUAAUAAUACCUAUCAUAAUAUUAUACGGACGGGGCUUGGCGUAAGUGCUGAGCUGUUUGCUCGCCGUGUGCGCCCCGCCUAAGUGAGAGUGGGUUGAAUGUAUUUCGCGGAACCGAACCGAGAACCGAAACGGAAAAAAAACGAAAACC